AGUGAGCGCUGGCGGUAGGCCUAACACAUGCAAGUCGAACGGCAGCACAGAGGAGCUUGCUCCUUGGGUGGCGAGUGGCGGCCGGGUGAGGAAUACAUCGGAAUCUACUCUGUCGUGGGGGAUAACGUAGGGAAACUUACGCUAAUACCGCAUACGACCUACGGGUGAAAGCAGGGGAUCUUCGGACCUUGCGCGAUUGAAUGAGCCGAUGUCGGAUUAGCUAGUUGGCGGGGUAAAGGCCCACCAAGGCGACGAUCCGUAGCUGGUCUGAGAGGAUGAUCAGCCACACUGGAACUGAGACACGGUCCAGACUCCUACGGGAGGCAGCAGUGGGGAAUAUUGGACAAUGGGCGCAAGCCUGAUCCAGCCAUACCGCGUGGGUGAAGAAGGCCUUCGGGUUGUAAAGCCCUUUUGUUGGGAAAGAAAUCCAGCCGGCUAAUACCUGGUUGGGAUGACGGUACCCAAAGAAUAAGCACCGGCUAACUUCGUG
rnacentral:rRNA from 1 species